rnacentral:rRNA from 1 species
UACGAGGGGGGCAAGCGUUGUUCGGAAUUAUUGGGCGUAAAGGGCGCGUAGGCGGUGCGGUAAGUCUGAUGUGAAAUCUCCGGGCUCAACUCGGAGUCUGCAUCAGAAACUGCCGUGCUCGAGUGUGGGAGAGGUGAGUGGAAUUCCUGGUGUAGCGGUGAAAUGCGUAGAUAUCGGGAGGAACACCUGUGGCGAAAGCGGCUCACUGGACCACAACUGACGCUGAGGCGCGAAAGCUAGGGGAGCAAACAGG